rnacentral:lncRNA from 9 species
AGCAUAUGGUUUCCAGAUAAUCUGGUGCCAGACAGCCUUCAGCAGGAAAACAUUUUGUGCUAACUGUUCUAUUUUGGUUUUGAGUCCUCUUCCUCUCCCCCCAGCAGACAUAAAUCGUAUGUAAAUCUCUGCCAGGAGGACAACCUCAUGAAACAGAAGCAGAAAGACAGCUGAGCAGCGGCUGGAAUGGGGUGUGCAUGGUGGACAGAGGAGCAAGAUUCAGAUGGUCUGGGAGCUGCACGUGGACUUCGAGGUUCUAGAAUCACUCUCUGGUGGAUAUUUGCUGUGGAUCCAGCGCUGGCUGAGGCAUUUGAGGGAAUCAAACAAAACGCAGAGCUGUGACCUUAAGGAAUAAAUAAUCUAGCACAAGAGACAGGAUUUGAAGAGAGAUGCUGGGACCACUGACAGAAGAGUAAGAGUUGGAGAAGUUCUUUUAGAGGUCAUCUAGUACAACCUUCUACCCAAUGAAGAAGGUACUUUCUAUGGGAGGUAAAUAAGUGAUAGACCAGCAACCAGCUGGAUGGACAUCAGCAGCAGAGUGCCAGUAAUAGCUAAUAAUAACGCUGAUUGAAUGCUUAUUGUAUGUCAGACUUUGUUCUUCAUGUUUUACGUAUAUUAUUUAUUUAAUCCUCUUGGAAACUCUAUGGGAUAGGUAGUAUUAUUAGCACUAUUUGUGGGGAGGGAAACCGAAGUGCUGAGAAGUUAAACAAAUAAAAGGAGCACACGUGUCAAAACAGAAGGACCUCAAACAAAAUUUUCACCACUCAAUAUUUUUUCAAGAUGUUUUAUAAUGUAUUUUAGCCUACAUGCUCAAAUGGGUUCAUGUUAAUUUUCUAUUGGUUCCCACUUUAUUUAUAGUUUAAAUGUAAUCUGAUCAGAGAUUUUCUUGUGCUUCCAUACUGGUUCCUUUAAAUGCCUCCGUCUUCCUCUUAAUUGACCUCCCUUAUGGUUACAAGUUUCAGCGUGGUUAUGGUGGCCUGGGUGUCGUGUCUGUUUCAAGUUCAGAAUUCAGGUGCCUGUUUGUUAAUCUCCUGCGUGAAGUCCUAAGAAUUAUGGCCACUCCUCUUCCCAUCACCCGCUCCCGAGCGAGACCUCACCC